GGACACAAGAACACAAGUCAAUAGAAGAACACAUAUUGGGAAACGCCCAAUUUUCAAUACUUUUGUUAUUCUCCUCCUCGUCAGGACACCUGUGGCUUCCUACUCACCUGAAGCAGAUCCAGUAAUCACCGCUCCUGUUUUAAACCCUGGCUUUUAGGUCAGCCUCUGCCAGAUCGUCCGUUCACCCAAGUGAUUCCCGCUUCAGCCCUGGAAGCCCAGUCUGCCUGCCUGAGCCGAAUUGUUCUUUGUUGGACCUGCCUCUUCCCUGUCUACCCGCUCUCAGCCCCAGAGGAUUUCAAAGCACCUUCAUUAGUUUUGUGUUCAAUAAACCUCUACACCUGUUCCAACCGUU